AAAAAAAAGAGUCAAUUCUAAGGUUUAUCAGGCGAGAGAGAACAGAGUAAUCAGAAUCCGCGUAUUUAGAAAUAGCUGAAGUUUCGGAGAAGAUACGUCAACUUUUGAUUUAUUCUCUUCUAUUCAAAGUCUAUUACCUUCUCACAGUUCAACAAUCCAUUUCAGACUUGUCUUUUUAAUUUAUAAUUUAAGUCUAUUACCUUCUCACAUAUUAUUCUAAAAGUAUUAGUUUAUUAUUAGUAUUUGUUUCCCAACAAUCCACCUAUGUAAUCAACCUUAGAAUGUGUAACAUAGCGAAGUUGAUAGAAAAUUAGAGAAAUUCAAGUAAAAAAAAUACUAGAGGGCAUAACCAUCGAUUAUAAAAAAAAAACUAGAGCAAAAAUAGCUUUGUUUGGGGGAGAUGAUGAAAACAUAAGAUAGCAGCAAUCCAGCAAACAACAUAUACUAAAGGUUCGAACAAAAUAAAA